AGCAGCCGCGGUAAUUCCAGCUCCAAUAGCGUAUAUUAAAGUUGUUGCAGUUAAAAAGCUCGUAGUUGAAUUUCGGGACCAAUUUGUUGGUCGUGCCUCGGUACGUACUGGUAUUAUUGGUUUCUCCCUUCUGAAGAACCAUGAUGCCAUUAAUUUGGUGUCGUGGGGAAUCAGGACUGUUACUUUGAAAAAUUAGAGUGUUUAAAGCAGGCAUACGCUUGAAUACAUUAGCAUGGAAUAAUGAAAUAGGACGUUUGAUUCUAUUUUGUUGGUUUCUAGGAUCGACGUAAUGAUUAAUAGGGAUAGUUGGGGGCAUUAGUAUUCAAUUGUCAGAGGUGAAAUUCUUGGAUUUAUUGAAGACUAACUACUGCGAAAGCAUUUGCCAAGGAUGUUUUCAUUAAUCAAGAACGAAAGUUAGGGGAUCGAAGACGAUCAGAUACCGUCGUAGUCUUAACCAUAAACUAUGCCGA
rnacentral:rRNA from 1 species